rnacentral:lncRNA from 1 species
ACUGUGACAUAGAGCCUGCCUCUCUCUGCUUCCUAGUACUGAUCCGCCAAAUCCAGGAGGUCACAAGAGGAUUCUCCUCUGUCCUCACAGACGACCAUCGAUUUUGAGUCGGAGAGGGUCUUCGAGGCCAGGCCGUUUAUUCCAAUGGACUCCUUGGAGGGUGAGAGACCUGAGGCCCAGAGAAAAGCAACUGGCUUAAGAUUCCACGGUAAAUUGCCAAGACAGAAUUAAGACCCUGGACCCUGGAUUAUGGAGCCAACACUCUACGCCAGGGGUCCUUAACCUGGCAUCCAUGAACUUGGCUUAAAAAAAAUUGAUAACUGUAUUUCAGUAUGAUUUUCUUUGUAAUGCAAUGUCUUUUAUUUGAUGUCUUUAAGAUAUUCUACAGAGGAGGGUCCAUAGAGGAGUCCAGGAUGGUGCGAUAAGAGCUAAGAAUCCUAGCCGUACAUUGAGUCACGCAUGGGGCCUGUCGGUGUUUUCAGUCUGACACUGGAUCUCCAUGUGCUCCCAUGUCACAUUCCUGGGGAGUUCUCGAUGCAUCAUCCUGAAAGAAUCCCCUUAUGGCUACAAUAGACCACUCUUGGAGAGGUGAUUUGCAUUCUGGGGCAGUUGACUGGUAAGAGCUCCCCUCCCCACCUUCCCAUCCCCUUUUCAUUUUGGGUGGGACAUAGUGAGUGGCACAGUAUGAG